UAGAGUCGAUCCAACACAAGGGAGCUUGUGCUCCCUUGUUGACGAGCGACGGAUGAGUGAGUAAUGUCUGACCUGCUGGCUGAAGGAGGGUAACUCCUGCUGACCGCAGCUACUAAUACCGAAUUCCGUGACACGACCGGAGAGGGGGAGAUUCAGGGCUCUUGCCGUCACAUGUGCACGGAUGGGAUUAGCAUUAACGAGGGGUAAUGGCUCUGGCUCACCACGAUCCCUAUGUGGACUGAAACGAUGACCAGCCUCACUGGAACUGAGACACGGUCCCGACUCCUACUCCAGGCAGAGGUGGGGAAUAUUGAUCUUCCGGCGCGAGCCUGAUGCAGACAUGCCGCCUGCGUGAGGAAGGUGAAGGGUUUGUAAAGCACUUUCUCUGUUGAUGAAGGAGAAGAAGUUCAUACGUUAAUGAAUUGACCUUACUCGCAGAAAACGCACCGGCUAACUCCGUGUCCGCGCCCGCGGCAAUACGAAUGGUGAAAUGGCUAAUCUUAACCACUGGUAUUGAAGCGCACGCAGGCUCGGUUUGUUUAGUUCUUGAUGUGGAAAUCCCCGSGCUCAACCUGGACACUGCAUUUUAAACUGGCAAGCUGAGGUCUCGUAUAGGAGAGGGUAGAAUUCCCAGGUGUACGGUAAAAUGUGAAAUAGGAUCGGGAGGACUCCAGGUGGGGAAGGCGUCUCUGGGACGAAGAGAACGUUCGGAUGAAAACGCGGGGAAGCAACCAGAUUUAGAUACCCUGUUAGUCCACGCGGUAAAGGAUAUCGAUUAGUAGUAGGUGCCCUCGACGCGUGACUUCCGCAGCUAACGCGUUAAGCCGUCCGCCUGGGGAGUACGGCCGCAAGGUUAAAACUCAAAGGAAUUGACGGGGGCCCGCACAAGCGGUGGAGCAUGUGGUUUAAUUCGAAGCAACGCGAAGAACCUUACCUGCUCUUGACAUCCUGAGACCUUCCCAGAGAUGGGUUGUUCCCUUCGGGAACUGUGAGACAGGUGGUGCAUGGUUGUCGUCAGCUCGUGUUGUGAAAUGUUGGGUUAAGUCCCGCAACGAGCGCAACCCUUAUUCUUUGUUGCCAGCGGUUAGGCGGGCAAUUCAAGGGGGCCGGCCGGUGAUAACCGGGAGGAGGGGGGGGAGGAGGUCAAGUCUUCAUGGCCCUUUGGCGUAGGGCUCCCCCCGUGUUCCAAUGGCGUAUCCAAAGAGAAGGGACCUCCAGAGAGCAACCGGACCUCAUAAAGUACGUCGUAGUCCGGAUUGGAUUUGCCAAUUGGAUUCCAUGAAGUCGGAAUCGCUAGUAAUCGGGAUCAGAAUCGACGGAAUAUACGUUCCGGGGCCUUGUACACAGCGCCCGUCACCCCAUGGGAGUGGGUCCAAAAGAAGUAGGUAGGUUACCUUUAGGAAGGGCGCUCCCAA
rnacentral:rRNA from 1 species